rnacentral:tRNA from 1 species
GGGCUGAUGAUGUAACUGACAGCAUAGAAGUCCUGCAAACUUCUCGUAAGGGUUUGAAUCCCUUUCAGUCCACCA